CCGUCGUAGUCCUAACCAUAAACCAUUCCGCCGUGGUAUGGGAGGUCACCACUGUUCCACAUCGUCAUCAACUCCACAGAAAUCAAUGUCUUGGGGAUCGAGGGGGAGUAUGGUCGCAAGGCUGAA
rnacentral:rRNA from 1 species